GUGGAAUUCUCCUCAGAUGAGACGGAGUCCAGUGGGCAGAGGGGCAACUUAGCAUCCUCUCUUUCCCCAUGUUACCACGAUGCUCUUGGCAGGGACCAUUUGAUGGGGAUUCGGAUGUCUUCCUGGGGUGCCUUGUAUGACCUCUGAAAAUAUGACCUGAAGCAGAUGGAUGCACUCACAUAAGAAACAUCACCUGUGGCCUUCAUCGAAAAUGGGCCUGCUGCUUGAAGAAGUUGGGCUCUUGGAGUUCUCUAGCACAGGGGCCAUGAAAAUCAAUGACUUCCUUGUUUGCUGACGGAGCAGAGGUAGAAUCUCUUGGUGUUUCCACGGAGAAAACACUGACCAUGAAGAGCCAAGAAAGAUGACAUGAUGAAGCCAUCAGGGGAAGCACCAAACAUCCUCAACUCUGCUCACCCAUGGUUUUCUCCCGCCCUCCCAGAGCUCCUCCUGCGUGAGUAAUGCAGUGUGUGCUGGUGCAGUGUCUCACUGAAAAAAGAAAGAAACCCUGAUUUGCAGCAUUGGCCAAUUUCUGUAGUGUAAAUACUCCCACCAUAGCAGAUUUCAGGUUACCAAGGGUUUCACAACUGGUUCACAAGUCUUGACUGUAAUGACCAGCUCAUGCAACUCCAGCAUCUCAUCAUCUCCGCCCUGUCCCAGAAAAUCCCCACAUCACACCCAGGCUGAAUAUCACUUUCAGCUUCUCAGUCAGAAGGAGAAGUGGUUAACUAUGCCAGGAUGGUAAUGACUAAAUAUCAGAAUGGUGAGUGUGGAGGGUCAGGAUGUCUGCCAAAUUGGAGAUGACUCUUCACUUCUCAAUCUUGGUGUCUCAUCUGGGGAAGCUGGAGGGAGACAUGCACAGCUUCUCAUGAACAGUCCUGGAAGCCCUUACCCCAAGGCCUCAUGGGGCUCUCUCCAGGGCUUGCUCUUUGUCACUCCUUUAAAAGCCUGUCAUUCAUUGCCAGAGAACAGAAGACUCCAUCCUAAGGCCAAGUUGAAAACGGCAGGCUUGGGAGCUGUCUAGACUCUGGGUCCUGGCUUUUGUCUUGGCUGGUGUCAAAAUGGACUCUUUAAAAACUGUCCUCAGGAAGAUUCCCCAUCCAACUCUGAACAGCCUGGACUGAUCUUUUUCUGAUUUUUAGGGGUCUUGUGAACAAGAGUCAGGUGGGCGGGCAGCUCUUGUAAAGCUGAACAUAACCAAAUUUGUCCAUAGCCUGUGACAGCAAAGAUCACAAAAUUCUUCCCUCCCCUUUAGGGCCUGGGAGUGACGCCGAACCAAGGGGAGGAUAGUGACCUAUUUUAUCUCCCAAACAUUGGGCAGCCAGUUGCAUUUGCAGAUUUAAAAUCCACCCACACUACUGCAGUUUCUGUUCUCCUGCCCCCCCGAGCAUACUUCUGGCUGGAGCUGGUUUUGUAAAGUGGAGUUGGCUGUGGGUGUGGGAGUCCUCCUCGGAGAGCCUGGUCUGACAGCCCCAGUCAACAGCCCUCCCAUGGGCAUUUGGGCUGCUCCAGUCCCGGCAGGUGCACAGCUCAGGGGAAUCUGGUUUUGUCUUGGUCUCAGCCAGGGAAGUCUAGUUAAAGAAAGAAAAGGUUGGCCGGGUGCAGAGGCUCACACCUGUAAUCCCAGCACUUUGGGAGGCUGAGAUGGGCAGAUCACGAGGUCAGGAGUUUGAGACCAGCAUGGCCAACAUGGUGAAACCCCGUCUCUACUAAAAAUACAAAAAUUAGCUGGGCGUGGUGGCAGAUGCCUGUAAUCCCAGCUACUUGGGAGGCUGAGGCAGGAGAAUUGCUUGAAACCAGAAGGUGGAGGUUGCAGUGAGCCGAGAUCGCGCCACUGCACUCCAGCCUGGGCAACAAGAACAAAACUCUGUCUCAAAAAAAAAAAAAAAAAAAAAAAGGUCUCGGUGGAAAUGGCCUUGAAUCUGGGGUCUCUCUCAUAUUCUAAUCACUCAAUCACUUAACAAAUACUUAUUGAGGGCCUACUAGGUGCCACACAUUGGAAGACAGUGGAGGGUGAAGCAGAGUCUGCCCUCAGGGAGCUUACAGUUUAGAUUACAGGCAAGACAGCCCUUACACACAUAAUUCCAGAUGAGUCAAUAAUGACCAGGGUGCAGAGGCUUUGAAGCAGAAGCAUAAGGUGCAAUGGGAGCAUAAAACAGGGAAGCCUAAUGCAGACUGAGGGGCCUGAGGAGGGUUCCUUGAGAAAGUGAGGUUGAAGCUGAGAACCUGAGGAGUGGUUUUCACGCAGUGCAAUUGAAGGUUGAAAGGGAAGAUCCUCCAAUGCACAAAGAAUUCAUGCUUCAGAAACAUUCUCUUCCUGAGGAUACAUUUGGGAAUUUAGGUAGAAAUUAACUGUCUUGCCUUCAUAUACAGUGUAGUGGAGACCACUGUAGGUCUCCAACUUUUUGUCUUUUCUUAAUAACAAGUCCCCAGUUUUUGCUAGGUACAUAGCUACCCAGAGAAAAGAUUAUGUGGCCACCUUACUAUGUUCUGGCCAAUGAGAUGUCAGCAGAGGUAAUAUGCGGGGCCUCUGAGAAGGCCCUUUCCUGCUACCUGGUACCUGGCUGGAGGCUGAAAAGCCAUUAGGGACGAGACAUGCUAAGGUUGGAGGGUCAGCGUAUUACAUGGAGCCUCCUUCCCUGAUGGCCUUGGGCUGCCAUACCAGCCCUGGAUUGCCUAAUUCCCGACUUCUUUUGUAAAAGGGAGAAAUAAGGGUCAAUUUUUAAAAAAGCAUCUAUUACUUUGACAUUUUCUGUCACACACAGCCAAAUAUAAUCCUAACUACUAUACACAGCUUCUUUUCAGCUUAAUGAAAAGAUCAUUGUUCUGCACUACACAUAAAUUACCUAUUUUAUAGAAAAGUCUGUGAUUACAAUAGCUAUUUUCCCAGCCUCCUUCAUCACCUCCUUGAUCCCCUUAUCCUCCCCUCGGCCCUGCACCUCCUCUCUUUCCUGACUCCCACACCAGAGCUAGGCCUGCCCUGGGCACUUUUGCCUCCAGGAAUGAAUGAGGCUCACAGCCCGAAGGUGCUCCAAGUCUUGGCUACCUUCCCUCAGUGGCUGCCCUGGCAAAGGUCCUGCCGCAGGGAAUCACACAAAGUCCAGCAAAGCAACUGGUCUUUCCUGUCCAUUCUCACCCUUCCCAAGAAAGUGUGAAGAGUUACAAUACUCAGGCAGAGCUGGAAAAAUCAUACCCUUUUAGAGAAUCCACAAGAAUUAUUGGAGGUGCUUUCACUGACCUGCCCUGCCUUGGGUUUUUCAAGCUACGCAGAUGGGUUUUUCAAGCUACGCAGAAUUUAAUGGAUCUGUUUCCCCAGCCUCUGGCUAACCAAAUCCAAAACAUCAAGAGUCAAGGGGAGAAGGUCAGCAUGUUUAGUUACAAACCUUUGGGGCUGUCUGGGGUGAUUGCAGGCCUCAGCAUGCUGGCUUUGGGUGCGGUGAGGCUGGGGAUGCAUAGAAUUCUGUCCCCUCUGCCCCUGCCUCAAAAAAAAAGUUGAAGGCUUAAACCCCAGUACCUCAGACUAUGGCCUUAUUUGGAGAUAGUCUUUACAGAGGUAAUCAAGUUAAAAUGUGGUCAUUAAGGUCAGCCCUAAUCUAAUAUAACUCCUGUCCUUAUGAAAAGGGGAAAUUUGGCCGGGUGCGGUGGCGGCUCAUGUCUGUAAUCCCAGGACUUUGGGAGGCCAAGGGGGCGGAUCACAAGGUCAGGAGUUUGAGACCAGCCUGUCCAAUAUGGUGAAACCCCAUUUCUACUAAAAAUACAAAAAUUAGCCAGGUGUAGGGGCACGCGUCUGUAGUCCCAGCUACUUGGGAGGCUGAGGCAGAAGAACCCGGGAGGCAGAGGUUGCAGUGAGCCGAGAUUGAGCCACUGCAUUCCAGCCUGGGUGACAGAGUGAGACUCCUUCUCAAAAAAAAAAAAAAAAAAAAAAAGAAAAAAAGAAAAAAAAGAAAAGGUGGGGACAGACACACCCACAGUGAGAACAGCAUGUGAGAUACAGGCAGAGGUCAGGGUGGUGCUUCAACAAGCCAAGGAAUACCAGAGAUUGCCAGCAAACCACCAGAAGCAUGGGAAAGGCAUCCAACAGAUUCUCCCUCUCAGCCCUCAGGGGAGCCAGCCCUGCCAACACCUUGAUCUUGCACCUCUAGCUUCUAGAACUCUGAGAAGACAAAUUUCUGUUGGUUAUGUCACCUAGUUUGUGAUAACUUGUCGGGGUAGCCCUAGCAAACUCAGGCAAGAUCCUUCAAGUACCAAAGAACAGAGGAGUUUGGUGACAGCCACUGGAGUCAAGCGAUUUCCCUGUAGCCUCACAUCGGGACAUGAAGAUGUGGGGAGCAGCUAGCCUCCCCUAUAUUUCUGUAGCUGAUGGAAAGUGAAAAAAAAAACCACCAACAUCCUCGUGGCCUUGAAACGCUGCAUCCCUUCAAGCAUCGGAUGGUUCCCUUUCAGAAAGGCUGUUAUUUGCACCAGUAGCAACUAUAUAAGUAGUGCUUGCUAAUUUGCCAGAAACUAUUUGAAGUGCUUUAAUAUUCUAAUUCCUUUUGUUGUUGUGACAGAUGAGGAAACUGAGGCACAGAGAGGCUAAGCAACUUAAGGUUAGCAGCUAAUACAUAGAGAAGGUGAGAUUUGGGGGUUUUUGUUUGUUUAUUUGUGUAGAGCUGGGGUCUCGCUAUGUUGCCCAGGCUGAUCUUGAACUCCUGGCCUCAAGCAAUCUUCCCACUUCAGCCUCCCAAAGUGCUGAAAUUGCAGGAGUGAGCCACUGCACCCAGCUGAAAAGGUGGGGUUUGAACCCAAACAGACUCCCUCCAGAGUCCAUACAUUUAACCACGACAUCUUUAAGUGCAUGAACUGGAGUCCAUGCGAUCCUGUGUUGGACACAGUAGUUCCUGAUUGAGAUUGCUGUGCUGAGUGAAAGCCAUUCCCAAGCCAUGUUGUUUGCCACAGUGUGUGUGUGUGUGUGUGUGUGUGUGUGUGUGUGUGUGUUUUAACCUCUUUUGUCUAUCACUGGUGGCUGGUGGCUGCCCCAGUCAGGGCUACCUUGAAACAGCAGAAACCCCAAAGCAGCAGGUUCCCCUCUCUUCUCAUGCUCAUUUUCUGGAACUCUUACCUGGCCUGGCUGGGCCAGAAGUCUCCCUUGGAUAUUCCUCUCAGUAGAGGAGUUCAAGGAGUCCUCUCUCCACCUGGAGGCAACCAGGGUAUCCUGACAGAGACCAAAUCUUUCAGAAAGGCCUUUUCUGCUCACUUCCUGGGGGUCAUGUUAAACAAGACUACUUCCCAGAAAGCACAACUGACGCUGACUGGCAAGGACUGUCUGAAUAUCUAUCAUCUAUCUAUCUAUCUAUCUAUCUAUCUAUCUAUCUAUCUAUCAUCUAUCAUCUACCUAUCUAUCUAUCAUCUAUCCAUCCAUCCAUUUAAUCUUUUUUUUUUCCUUUUCCUGGCAGAAAAAUCUAAAUGUCUAAAUGGGUAGGCAUCUUUCAACUUAUGAACAGUCUGCAAACCCCAACUAAACUUUCUUUGUUGAAUGAUUCUUGCAUGUGCACAAAUGCACACGUGAAAAAACUUUGUAUGUGAUCUCUCCCGCCUGGGUUCCCCCACCUCAUCCACUGCUUGAUUUCUGCUUGUGGAAUUGGAAGUCCACAGGGAUGGGGGAAGAAGGUCAAAGGACACCCACAGGCUCUGCAAAAGCCAGCCACUGGGCCAAGCUGCCACCAUCCGGCUCCUCCCACUGCCUACUUUACCUGUCUCACCUCACAAGGGGCUGAGCUAAGGUUGCUUUGAGCAUAUAGGGCUUUUUUUUUUUUUUUUUUGAGACAGAGUCUCACUCUGUCUCCCAGGCUGGAGUGCAGUGGCACAUUCACAGCUCAUGGCAGCCUUACCCCCAGGCUCAAGUGAUCCUCUCACCCAAGCUUCCUGAGUAGCUAGGACCACAGAUGUGCACCAUUGCACCUGGCUAACUUUUAAAACUUUUUGUAGAGAUGGGGUCUCACUAUGUAGCCCAGGCUAGUUUCAAACUCCUGGGUUCAAGCAGUCAUUCUGCCUUGGCCUCCCAAAGUGCUGGGAUUACACAUGUGGACCACCAUGCCCAGCCUACAUGGGGCAUUUUGUUAAGCAGAAAUGAAGACUCAGUUGCUACUAAGCAUCUGUGCCACUUGUACUGUGACGGUUCUUCAUUUUUACUAUUUAUUCCUUACCAUAACCAGAUGUUAAUCCCAUUUUUAAGAGGCUGCAUUUGAGGCCUAGCAAUUUACUCUGGGGAACUUGAAUGAGAGGCUUGGAGCCUGGGCUUCAGCAAUUCUGAAAAGUCCACUCCGUGCCCAUGAUCCAUACCACGUCAGUUACAGAGGUCCCAGAAAUGUGUGCUAAGUCAGCAUAGAGACUGUUUUCUGGGUAAGGACAUUUGCAUUUUCUCUUUUGUUUGUUCAACAAUAAAAAUGCUUUGAGUUGAUUUUCUAGGCUUGGUAACAAAGAGGAUGAUGACAAUAAUGAUGCAAAAGUAUGUGAAAUUGGGCUGGGUGUGGUGGUUCACGCCUGUAAUCCCAGUACUUUGUGUGGCCAAGGUGGGAGGAUCACCUGAGGUCAGGAGAUAGAGACCAGCCUGGCCAACAUGGUGAAACCCCAACUCUACUGAAAAAAUACAAAAAUUAGCCAGGCGUGGUGGUGGGCACCUGUAAUCCCAGAUACUCAGGAGGCUGAGGCAGGAGCAUUGCUUGAAUCCGGGAGGCAGAGAUUGCAGUGAGCAGAGAUCACACCACUGCACUCCAGCCUGGGCAACAGAGUGAGACCCUGUCUCAAAAAAAAAAAAAAAAAGUACGUGAAAUUGGUGGUGAAUCAUGUACUAGGGCCUAUGCUGUGGGAGGCUCAUGGACAACACAAACAUGAGCCUUGCUUUUUAGGAGCCUAAAGUCUGAAUGGGAAGGUCAAAAUCUAUGUGAAGCAAGUGGACAACUGAGGUUUCUCUAAACUGAAAGUGGCUUUACUGAGGAUUUGCCGAUCGUAAGGACAGAGACCCCUCCACAUGUUUCAAGAAAGGAGGGAUUUAAUGUAGGAGUGCAAGUGGUUGGUGCUGUCAUGGAGACAGCUCCGAGGCCUGGGGAGGCCUCUCCAUCUCACCCCUCCCUCAAGAUCCCUGCUCUCUCUGUGCAUCUGUCCCCUGCUCCUGUCUCUAAUGACCCUUCCUCUGCUCAUUCAGCUCCUGUUCUCUCCUAAUUUCAACUUACACAUAACUUCACCAGCCAGGAUUCUCUUUCCACCUCUAGACAUCCUUUCAGCUUCAACUACUACCCUAAGUGGUUCAUUCUUUCUGUAUUUGGUAGUUCUAAUUCCCAGGAGAGGCUCUGAUUGGCCUAGCUCCUAGGCCUCUGUGAGCCUGUGCUUUAGCAAUCCUUGGUCACUUGUCCCUCCUGACAGUCCGGUCAGAUGUGGCCAGGAGUAAUCACAAGAUCACCUAAAGGGCUCUGGGCAGCUAGACACCUAAAACAACUCCGGGAUGGGGGUUCUUGAUGACAAUCUCAACUAAAGAUCAUAGGAAAGAGAAUCGUUCUGAGCUGGAAAGAGUGGAAUUCACAGGGCAGUGAGAUGGCCAGGGCUUCAACACACAGCAUUUACAUCAUAGGAGAGAAGAGGAAGCUGACAAGCAGGAAUGGCUAUGGUGGUAAACUGUUGCAGUUUUCAAAAUUAUUUGUUUCCCUUCCCCAUGGAAGGAUUCUACAUUCCUACCCAGAUGAUAUCACACUUGGAAGUGUGAAACUUUUACCAAUGAAAUAUGAGUAGAAGGGAUGUGUGUCAUUUUAGGCAAAAGCAAUGGAUAACCAUUGCAUGGUUCACCAUGUUCCCUUUUCCCUCUGCCACGAGAACAACACAGUCCCACAUAGGGACUGCUCCAUCCCCUCAGGUCCCAGAAUGGAAACAACCUGGGGCAGAGACAGAACUCAAUCGUGACAGUCCAUGAUGGAUGCAUGAUGCGAAUAAGUCAAUCUUUGUUGUGUGAAGCCACCGAGAUUUUGGGGUCAUUUGCUACUGUAGCAUAACCUAGCCUAUCCUGACUGAGACAAGGAACAUGUUGUGUUUUUAGAAUAUCAGAUAGAUGGGAGAGAAGGAUGGCAGUGAAGCGGUAAUGAGAAGUGGGACCAGGAAUCCAGGUGUCAGGGAAGGAAGACACGAAGCAGGCAACAAGAGAAGAUCUAGAAAGAAGGAGGAGACUGGUUGGGGGUGACUGAAUUGUGGGGGCAGGUCUUUCCCAUGCUGUUCUUGUGAUAGUGAAUAAUUCUCAUGAGAUCUGAUGGUUUUAAAAAGGGGAGUUUCCUUGAACAAGCCCUCUUUCCUUUUCUGCCACCAUGUGAGAUGUGCUUUUCACCUGCCAUGAUUGUGAGGCCUUCCCAGCCACGUGGAACUUGAUGGGCCCCCGACAUGAAACUGGCACUCAGAAUGAAGAAUGCCUUUUCCAGCCUCCCUCGCUGGUGGAGUCU
rnacentral:lncRNA from 1 species